rnacentral:rRNA from 1 species
AUGUACUCCGUGCUCUCGAGAAUAUACUCCGCGGCGCGCAGCCGUCUCCAGGUACUAAUAGACUCGCUCCCGGCCGGCCGCGAUGGCAGCAGGGACUCGCAUCGCCGCCGCCGCCGCCGGGACGACCGGAGCAGGAGCAGCGGCACCAGCACCCCCAUCAGCACGCCCGCGUCCAUGUACUCCGCGCUCAGCCCGGUGGACACCCACGCCGUCGCCACCGCCGCGGCGGCCAAGCUCGCGAUGGACGCCCCAGCCGCCGGGUCGGCCGCCAUGCCCAUCUCCCUGUCGCCGCUCCUCCCGCCGCCGCAGAUGGUGGUGGUGGCGCUCGACGCCACCCGCGACCACCGCGAGGUGGAGGUCAGGAUGUCGCUCAGGGCGCUCGUGGCCCGGGGCGACAUACUUCGCGGCGGGGACUCCCUCCUCGUGCUCGGCGUUCUCCACUCCGUCACCAAUCCGAGUGAGGGCCGAGCUCCCCCUUUAGUGGGAUACCAAACCAAAGCAUCUAGUGAUUCUUUUGCCGGGACGAGCUUGCGGUACCUAGGUGAUCAGGUUGCGAAGAAAGCUGAAUACUACAAAGACAAGCUCCUCCAGGAUGUGGAGGAGCUUCGCCAAGUGGGGAUUAGUGUGACCCUCAAAGUAUGCCCUGGAUCACCAGCGAAGGUUGUCAUUAUCCAUGAAAUCAAUUCAAGUAAAGCUGCUUGGGUUGUACUAGAUAGGCACUUCAGACGAGAUUUCAAGCACUUCGAAAAGCACAUAGCCUGUAAAGUUGCAGCAUUUCAAGAUAACCUGUCAGUGCAGACCUUGAAGUCAAUUAGAACAAAUCUAUCAAGCAAAAGUAUGGGGGAGAUGAAGGACCUACAAAACUUAGUAGUGUCACUUGAUCUAAGUUCCAAAACACUAGAUACUGACAAGGUCCGUGUGUCGGUCAGGUCAUCGCCUGUAAGUUACUUUGCCUCUCUAACCAAUCAUGAGAUGUACUACACCCCCAGUGUGGUUGGUAGCAGCAUCCAAGACUUCACACCGUCAAUGAGCGUCGCGUCCAUCCCGGUGAUCGAUGAGACUGAAUUCAAUGCAAAAUCUAUUGAAGAUAACAUGAUCGGCCACUACGAUUCAUCAGAAAGACCAGUUCUAUGUGCUGGUUGUGGGCUAAGAUCAGUUCUUUACAUCAAGGAAUCCAUGAAAUAUCCUUUCUCAGAGAUCCAAUCUGCAACAUCUGACUUCUCAAGUGAGAAUUUGGUGGGCGAGGGCGGAUUUGGGCAUGUGUACAAAGGGAAGCUCAAGGAUGGCCAGGUCAUUGCAGCUAAGUUGCGUAAAGAAGCUAGCUCGCAGGGCUAUACCGAGUUCUUCUCUGAAGUGCAAGUGCUCAGCUUUGCCCGGCAUCGGAACAUUGUCAUGUUGCUUGGGUAUUGUUGCAAAGAAAGCUACAACAUCUUGGUGUACGAGUAUAUAUGCAACAACUCUCUUGAGUGGCAUUUAUUUGACAAGGCAGCUGGCUUACUGGAGUGGCACAAGAGGCAUGCUAUUGCCCUUGGUAUAGCAAAGGGGCUGCGCUUCCUGCAUGAAGAGUGUCGUGCCGGUCCAAUAAUUCACCGGGAUUUGCGCCCAAGCAAUGUACUGCUGACACAUGACUUUGUUCCUAUGCUUGGGGAUUUCGGUCUUGCUAAAUGGAAGGCUGUCAAUGCAUCUAUUCAUACAAGGGUUCUGGGGCAAUCAGGGUACUUGGCGCCUGAGUAUGCUGAAUAUGGCAUAGUUUCUGUCAGAACAGAUGUGUAUGCCUUUGGGAUCGUUCUUUUCCAGCUGAUAUCGGGUCGCAAGGUGCUCGAGGAACAUGAAGGACAGUGCACACACAUACUGCAAUGGGCAGAGCCUUUGGUCGAGAGUCUUGCACUGCACGAUCUAAUCGACGAGCGCAUUGCAGAUACAUACGACACGUAUGGGCUGUAUCAUCUAGCCAGAGCAGCGUAUCUCUGUGUCAGGACAAACCCGGAACAGCGGCCUUCAAUGGGGGAGGUUGUCCGUCUUAUCGAGACAGAGAAUGAGCAUAUCAGGGAUUUGUCCCGACAAUUCAUCCCACAUUUCACCAAGUAA